AUGCUCAGCCUCCACCGAGUCGUCAAGAGCAAUCUGGUCGCCGGUCUCCUCCGGUUGAGCCGGACCGCGCCAACGACGAUGGCAGCACCGGCGGUGGCGCCGCCCGCGUGCCUGCUCGGGAACGGCACCAAGACCGUGGUACUCGAAGUCGACGCGCUGCUCCUCAAGUCUUCACCGCCGUCGGCCGCGACGCUGUUCCCGCCUUUCUUCCUCAUCGCCGUCGAGGCGGGCAGCUUCGCCCGGGGCCUCCUCCUGCUCGCGCUCUACCCGUUCCUGCACCUCAUGGCACGCGAUGUGUUAGAGGCCAUGAUCAUGGUCAGCUUCUGCGGGCUGCGGGACGAGGCUGCGAGGAUCGGCAGGGCCGUGCUGCCCAAGUACUUCUCCAAGGAGGCGGCGCGCGUGGAGGCGCUGGAGGAGGCGAGGGAGGGGACGACGAGUGAGGUCGUGGCGGCCGUGAGCAGGUCGUUCCCGACGGUGAUGGUGGAGGCGUUCUUGAAGGAUUACGUGGGCUUCGACGCGGUGAUCGGCAGGGAGGUCAAGGCGGGCUAUGGAUACUUCGCCGGUGUAAUGGACGACGGGAACACGUACGCGGAGAGGCUUAGGGCUGCGCUCAAGAGAGCCGAAGAGAACACUACGUACCACUACCCGAAGCCCAUGAUCUUCCACGACGGCCGGCUGGCGUUCACGCCGACACCGGUGGCCGCGCUCGCCAUGUACGUCUACCUCCCCUUCGCCGUCGUGCUCUCCGUCGUCCGCAUCGCCAUCUACACCCUCCUCCCGCGGCGCAUGAUAGGCCCAGCCGCCGCGCUCGCCGGCGUGCGGGUGCGCGUCACCGGCGCCCCUCCCGCCACCGCGAACGGCGAGAAUGGCGCCUCGGGCGGCCGGCUCUACGCGUGCAACCACCGCACGCUCCUCGACCCGAUCGCCAUCUCGAGCGCGCUCGGGAAGCCCGUGUUCGCCGUGACGUACAGCCUGAGCCCCCUGUCGGAGCUGCUCUCGCCGAUCCCGCUGCUGCGCCUCACCCGCGGCCGCGACGAGGACCGGCGCCGCAUGUCGUCUCUGCUGGGGUGGGGCGACGUGGUGGGGUGCCCCGAGGGGACGACGUGCCGCGAGCCGUACCUGCUCAGGUUCCCGCUGUUCGCCGAGCUCGCCGACGAGGUGAGCCCCGUGGCGGUGGACGAGCGCUCCACCAUGUUCUACGGCACGUCGACGUCGCCGGGCGCCAAGUGCUUCGACUCGGUCUUUUUCCUGAUGAACCCCCGGCCGGAGUACUCCGUCCAGUUUCUGGAGCCCGUGCGCACAGACAACCCGCGUGGCAGCAUCGAGGUGGCGAACCAGGUGCAGGGCGUGCUGGCCGGCGCUCUCGGGUUCACGCCGACGGCGCUGACGAGAAAGGACAAAUACUUGCUGCUCGCUGGUAACGAGGGGGUCGUGUCGACCAAGACAAGCAAAGUCAUCUAG
rnacentral:rRNA from 1 species